UAGAUUAAUAACCCGCACGUGUGAUCUUCCUUCGCGCCCAGAGAAACGGCUCUGUUCGCGCCAAAGGUCGCCCUGACAACGAGUCUCGAGGGCAGCGGAUUAAGUAACAGACAGUAAAUCAGCGUCUUUUCCGUAGUGUCCACUGCAGGAUGGAUAUAAAAGUAUAACACACGUGUUGGUUUGACAACAUCGUUCAUAUGUGAACUAUCACAAUUAAAGCACAAAGACAUAACAUAACACCCCGAGACCUUUCACAAGUGCCACAAAAGGGAAGAAACGCUUUCCGGAAGGAGUUCAUCAGGCGAGUUGGAGCGUUGACUUUGUCCAGUCAUCAAGUUUAGCGGAGAGCAUCAACCCCUAAUUGACACGAGGAAUAAAUCAUUGAAAAGUGUUCAGCUAUGGGUGUACCCUCUUUGCAACAGAGGAAGCAUUAGGAAAGAGAAGAAGAGAGAAAGUGAAAAGGCACUCAACAGAUGUUGGAAAAUGCACUGGUAACAACUAAAAAAAGACGACCAAAAAUUUUAUUCAACAGAAGAUGAUGGCUGUGGUGAAACAAGCACUCAAAUAAUGAAACUAAGACCUGUGGGAGUGCUGGAGAAAUCAAGUGUAUAAGUCCCCUGUCGUCUCAGCCAUGGAAGAGAUCUUCAGACAUGAAGAGAUCGAGGAGUUAAAUGAAGUCAAAGAGCUAAAAGAAGAUUUACAAUACUAGUGCCAUUUCAGUAUGAAAACAGAGAGAGAGCCGAGGCAGUGGAAAGAAAUGCAUGUUAUUGUGCAAGGGGUAGUUGCAUGGACUAUCAGUGGAGGAACAGAAAGCUCUGAGAUUUCAUUAUAAAGAUCUUCAUUUGUGUUCUGAAGAUGAACAAAGGUUUUGAACGUCAUGAGGACUACGUCAAAAAUAGUGUUUCCACAUCUGAGAUGAAGGCAGUCAUAAGAACCAAACAGAACGAUGAGGAUAAGCUCUUCAGAAAAUGAAACCUGUCUGAAUAAUGAGGGAAGAAAUGUGCAUGAUUGUGUGAUUUGUAAAUAAACACUAAAUACAUUUAGUGUAACUCUCAGCCUGUUAUUUUAAGUUUAAAGAAAAGUAAAAUCAUUUAUUGUUGCAUUGCUGUUUGAGACAUUCACUGUUGUUUUGUACCUUAAUUUAUUAUAUUGAAAUUGUGUAAAAUAAAACUUGUUAUUCUGAAUAUUCUGG